ensembl:snRNA U6 U6 spliceosomal RNA
GUGCUCCCUUUGGCAGCACAUAUACUAAAAUUGGAAUGAUACAGAGAAGACUAGCAUGCCCCCCUGCACAAGGAUUAUGAAGAAAUACAGAAUUGCUUUAUUCUUUU